UCCUCCAGCCCCCGUUUUAUUCCAGUCCAAGUCUUUUAAACCAAAACCUUUCCCCGCUGUUCCUACUCUUAGUUUAUCUCCAUGUUCACCCCAUAUCAUUUAUCCAGGGCUCAUUACUGCGCAUUCUGGACUCAGGCCACACCCAUUAACUGCCCCUCCCCCACAGCCGUGUCUAGCUCAGGUCACCUCCUUCUGUCAGUCCCUGAAGGCAGUCUUCCUCCACGAAGCUCUCCUGGACCGUCUGCCUGAUGGAUGGAAGGGUGCUCCGAGCAUCCUUCCAAAGGGCACCGCUCUUCUUUGACAACUAUACGCAUGAGCAGUUUGUGCAAGGGCACAGCGUAUCUUGGUCGCUGUUUCUGUAUUGCUGAGGAGAUGUCCCAACUGCAAACUCUAUGGGAUAUUUGCGAUGGCUUUGCUCCACGACCUUGAGCUGGACCCAGUCGAACAAGAAAUCCAUCAGCACAACGGCUCAGAACAACAGGAGGUUGCCAGGCAAAGGGUGGACUGGAGCAGCUACGGCCUCUCUUGGUGCAACUGGAGCUUCCGAGUCUUGUUGUGCGGCCAUUGCUAAGGUGAGUUCGUGCCCACUCUUCUUGAUUAAUUCACAGUGUUGACUGGACUGGAUUUGGAAUCAUCUAGAAGACACAUCUCUGGACAUGUCUGUAAGGGCAUUUUUCUGGCAAAGUUUAACUGAGGAGGAAAGACUUACUCUGAAUGAGGUAUAACAAUUUCAUGGACUGGAGACUUGAACUAAAUAAAAAAGAAGAAAGCCAGUUAAAAUUCCAGAACUUCCCAACCCUUGCCCCUUCUCCCUUCCCUCCUCCCUGUCUGUGGUCUUCCCAGAUGUGAGGGGUCUAAAGUACUUGC